rnacentral:misc_RNA from 1 species
UACGUACUGUGCGAACGUUAUUCGGAAUCACUGGGCUUAAAGGGUGCGUAGGCGGUUCGAUAAGUAGGGUGUGAAAUCCUCCGGCCCAACCGGGGAACUGCGCUCUAAACUGUCGGGCUUGAGUAAGACAGGGGUGUGCGGAACUGCCAGUGGAGCGGUGAAAUGUGUUGAUAUUGGCAGGAACGCCGGUGGCGAAAGCGGCACACUGGGUCUUGACUGACGCUGAGGCACGAAAGCCAGGGGAGCGAACGGG